rnacentral:rRNA from 1 species
ACUCCUACGGGAGGCAGCAGCUAAGAAUAUUCCGCAAUGGACGGAAGUCUGACGGAGCGACGCCGCGUGGAUGAAGAAGGCCGAAAGGUUGUAAAGUUCUUUUGCUAGGGGAGAAUAAGUGUGGGAGGGAAUGCCUGCACGAUGACAAGGACUAGCGAAUAAGUCCCGGCCAACUACGUGCCAGCAGCCGCGGUAACACGUAGGGGGCGAGCGUUGUUCGGAAUUACUGGGCGUAAAGGGCAUGUAGGCGGCUUGGUAAGCCUGGCGUGAAAGUCUGCAGCUUAACUGUAGGGAUGCGUUGGGAACUGCUUAGCUUGAGUUACGGAGAGGGAGCUGGAAUUCCUGGUGUAGGGGUGAAAUCUGUAGAUAUCAGGAAGAACACCGAUGGCGAAGGCAAGCUUCUGGCCGACAACUGACGCUGAGGUGCGAAAGUGUGGGGAUCAAACAGGAUUAGAUACCCUGGUAGUC